GGUUGGUCCAAGCCCAGUGGUGUUUACAGCUAACUGAUCUCAACCAGCUAUAGACUCCUUUGUUCCUUCUCUACUCCUACUGGUUCACUUGAGUAGCCUUAA
ensembl:misc_RNA Y_RNA Y RNA